rnacentral:rRNA from 1 species
AUUGAACGCUGGCGGCAGGCUUAACACAUGCAAGUCGAGCGGGGGAAGGUAGCUUGCUACCGGACCUAGCGGCGGACGGGUGAGUAAUGCUUAGGAAUCUGCCUAUUAGUGGGGGACAACAUCUCGAAAGGGAUGCUAAUACCGCAUACGUCCUACGGGAGAAAGCAGGGGAUCUUCGGACCUUGCGCUAAUAGAUGAGCCUAAGUCGGAUUAGCUAGUUGGUGGGGUAAAGGCCUACCAAGGCGACGAUCUGUAGCGGGUCUGAGAGGAUGAUCCGGCACACUGGGACUGAGACACGGCCCAGACUCCUACGGGAGGCAGCAGUGGGGAAUAUUGGACAAUGGGGGGAACCCUGAUCCAGCCAUGCCGCGUGUGUGGAGAAGGCCUUAUGGUUGUAAAGCACUUUAAGCGAGGAGGAGGCUACUCUAGUUAAUACCUAGGGAUAGUGGACGUUACUCGCAGAAUAAGCACCGGCUAACUCUGUGCCAGCCGCCGCCGUAA